rnacentral:rRNA from 1 species
GAAUCUGCCUUCAGGUCUGGGACAACCACUGGAAACGGUGGCUAAUACCGGAUGUGCCGAAAGGUGAAAGGUUAACUGCCUGAAGAUGAGCUCGCGUCUGAUUAGCUAGUAGGUAGUGUAAUGGACUACCUAGGCGACGAUCAGUAGCUGGUCUGAGAGGACGAUCAGCCACACUGGGACUGAGACACGGCCCAGACUCCUACGGGAGGCAGCAGUGGGGAAUUUUCCGCAAUGGGCGAAAGCCUGACGGAGCAAUACCGCGUGAGGGAGGAAGGCUCUUGGGUCGUAAACCUCUUUUCUCAGGGAAGAACACAAUGACGGUACCUGAGGAAUAAGCAUCGGCUAACUCCGUGCCAGCAGCCGCGGUAAUACGGAGGAUGCAAGCGUUAUCCGGAAUGAUUGGGCGUAAAGCGUCCGCAGGUGGCUAUGUAAGUCUGCUGUUAAAGAGUCUAGCUCAACUAGAUAAGAGCAGUGGAAACUACAAGGCUAGAGUACGUUCGGGGCAGAGGGAAUUCCUGGUGUAGCGGUGAAAUGCGUAGAGAUCAGGAAGAACACCAGUGGCGAAGGCGCUCUGCUAGGCCGUAACU